rnacentral:lncRNA from 1 species
CUGAGUGCCUCCUUGGGACUCUCCCAUUCCCUCUUCCGACAUACUCACUCCUAAACUGCCAUCCCUCCUCUGAUCCACAUCCAUCUGAUCCCCCACAUCCUCUGACAUAUCACCUUGCAUUGUUCCCCUUACUGAUCUGCUUCUACCCAGAUCCAAAGACCUUCUAGGGUCUCUUACUGUUCUUUCUCUAUUGGACCUACUUGACAUUGCCCUAGGCAAUGCAGGAGGACGGGCAUCAAUGCCCUCGUCCUGGGGUGGUACUCCAGUCAAUCGUACAGAUCGACGAGUUCCU